rnacentral:pre_miRNA from 1 species
ACGUGAAUCACCCGGGGAUCUUGUUAAAACGCAGAUUCUGAUGCCUUAAAUCUGGGGUGGUGCUCAAGGCCUACAUUUCUAAAAAGCUCCCAGGUGAUGCUAAU